rnacentral:lncRNA from 1 species
GUCAGUGAGGCGGAGCUACCCUAGAUGCUUGGUAAAUAAGAAGGCUGGCAAAGUCGAAAGAAGUAUAUUUGAUAUACAUGAUGUUGAUGUGUACUUUACUAUUACUCCUAGUAGCGCGAGGGUAUUGGAUACCAGUUUGAUUGCGAAGUGAUUAGUAACACAAAAUGAAAGCUAUGGAAUAAACGGAGACUAGCUAAAGGUGAGGUGACGAUACGUGUUGGAAGUGUCUCCAAGGUUGAUAUGAUCAAACGUGGCACGCUCCCUCUACCAUUGGGAUUGGUGUUAAACCUAAAUAAUUGUUAUUUGGUGCUUGCGUUAAGCAUGAACAUGAUUGGAUCGUGUUUAUUGCAAUACGAUUAUUCAUUUAAAAAGAAUAAUGGUUACUAUAUUUGCUUGAAUAAUCACCUUCAGUGGUUUAUUG